rnacentral:lncRNA from 1 species
UUUGAAGGUUUUUUUUCCAGCCGCAGAUCAUGCUGCCCAUGGAGAGGCCCAUCCCCCGGUACUGCAGCAUCAUGUUGGAAAGCAGCUUGGAGGCUGCAGACACGGAGAUGCGUUCUCCAUUCCGAAGAUAAUACAGCCUGUGGGAGCGAGGAGGAGUGAGGAGGAGGAGGAGGAGGAGGAGGCCUCAGGGGCAGCUAUGCCUGCAUUCCCUUUCUCCCAUAGCACGAGGGAGCAAGGACCGUACAGAUGAGUGUUUGGAAGGAGGCUGGAAGAGUUUUGAGAUCAAAGAAAUGAGCCCACAGCUCCCCCCACCACCACCCCGUGCUAUAAUGCCCACUCUGUCUGAACUUCGGCACAGGCCUUCCACUCUACUGAGAGAACAGCUCCACGAGUCAGACCACUGGAGCACACACGGAGCACACAUACUCACAAAUGUAACUCCCUGAAGUGGCCCUGGAGUCCACGGCCACGAUGACCCCAUGCUGGAACUUGAAG